GCUUUUCUGUGGCUUCAUCAGUAGAGCAUUGUGCUAGCAACACAAAGAUCGUGGGUUUGAAUCCCAGGGAAAACA